AACCUCAAUCUCCCGUUCUUUAAACCUCGUCCUACCACUGUUUACACACCUAAGAAGUCUGUCCCCCUCUUGCUUAUAAACUCCAUUUAAAUACUGAAAGGCUGCAGUAUGGUCUACCCGGAGUCUUUUCCAGGCUGAGCAUGCCCAGCUCCCUCUACGUUUGUCAGUAGGCGAGGUACUCCAGCUCUAUGAUCAUCUUCAUGACCCUCCCCUGGGCUCGUCCCAACAACUCCGUGUCCUUCCUGUGCUGGGGGCCCAAUGCUGGACUCAGUACUCCAAAUGGGGCCUUAUAAGAGCAGAGGAGAGGGGCACAAUCACUUCCCUUGUCUUGAGGGCCACCCCUCUUUUGAUGUGGCCCAUGAUACAGUUGGGCUUCCCAGCUGCAAUGCUUUAAAAAAGCACAAGUAGACUUUUUGUUCUGUUUAAACAACAAAAAAGUAACUGUUACUAGAGAAUGUGUGAAUGAUUAUGCAGCAUUGCAAAUCCCUUAGAUGAGGAAACCAAUCUCAAGGGAAAAAUACUGCUCCAAUAGUUAUGCUAGGAGAAAUAGGUGAAAUAAUUGGCAAACGGAGGGCUACGAUUGCUAUCAAACUGUUGUUCAAUAUGCAGGCAUUCAGGAAGAAAUAGCUUAUACUGCAAUUAUCUUUUUUUUUUUCUUCUUUUUUUUAAAUCUAGCCUGCAUUUUUACAGCGUUUCAUCUGACAUUGAACUCAAACAUCUAUAGAAUCAGGCAGCCAGGGUGGAACAGACCUUCUCUUCUCUUGUUUGACUGUAGAUAUUUGCAAGUAACAGCAGUAGCCUCAAAAGUUCUCUUUCUCACAUCGCAUCUGCCAGGAGGUGCUACAUGCCUGAAUGUUACUCAGCUGAACCUUACUCAUUACUUCACCUUUGUCCAUUCUGCCUAAGUUUACAAGAAAGUAACCACUAGUAAAAGUUGAUGAGGUAACAGGAAGAAGGAAAAACAAGAUUUGAUAUAGACCUUCAGGAAAAGGAAAGAAGUUUUAACAAUUAUUUGCAUACAGAAGGUUGGAAUUAGGAAAGACAAGGCUUAGCUGGAAUUUGAAGGAGGGUUGCUAAAAACAGCAAUGCCUUUAAGUACAUGGUAGCAAAAAGAAAGCUAAGGAAAGUGCAUCCACAGCUCAGUGGGGCAGGGGACCCACCUACUGCCAAAGGACAUGGAAAAGUUUGAUGGAUUUGUUUCUUUUUGUAUCGGUUUUCAGUGAUGCAUUUUCUCCAGCUUCUCAAAUCCUAUUAGUUUGUGGGUCGAAACAUUAUUCACAGUAAAAGAAGGUACAGUUAUAUAGCACUUAAACCAAACUAAUACAUAUAAGUCUAUGGAACCAGACUUCUCUCUCACCUUUGAAAGGUCAUGAUCAGGGGACACUGCUGUUGAUCAGAGAAAAGCCAAAAGAGGACUGGGGAAUUAGGGGCCAGUGGAGCUGAUCUUUCUCAAGGUUCUUCAUGAGUAUGUGAAGAACAAGAAAGUUUUUGAGGACACUCAUAAUGGAUGUAACAAGGAUAGAUCACUCCUGACCAACUUAAUUGCCUUCUGUGUUUAGGUGUGCAGUUGCACGGAUGUUGCAUACCUUGGUAGGCAUUUAAUAUGAUCUCAAAUAGCAAGGUAGCCUCAGGGGGGAAAACCCUUCUGCUCAAGUUUUGCUCUCCACAGAACAACCAUACAGCACGACAAGCAUUUUUUUUCCAGUAGCAGUAGUAGCUAAGGCAGCAAAAGUUUAACCAGAACAGAUUCUGAUGUGGUACACUGUGCUGUCACAGGAAUAGUUGGAAUGGCCCAGCUGAGAGGACAGUGCAGGAAGAGAGGGGCAGAACACAAGAGGAAACUCAAGGCAGCAUCAUGGAUUAUGAUUAUUAUCAAUGCAGAAUGAAAGAAUCAGCUGCAACUUG
ensembl:lncRNA